UGCACCUAUAGCUCAGUGGAUAGAGCAGAAGCUUCCGAAGCUUUGUACGGGGGUUCGAGUCCCUUUAGGUGCAU
rnacentral:tRNA from 1 species